GGUGGGUAAUGAGUUGAACCCGGGUACCCGUCUCAAUACCCGGACUCGUUAUGAUCACGUGACCAAUAGAUUAUACAAUGUAAUAUGUUAUUCUUUCAUGAUCAAAUGUCACCUGUUUUGAAUAUAAUACAUGGUUAAGAGAUUGAAAAACUCAAAAUUUUAGCGUUAGAGCUGAAGAAUAUAUUGCCAUUUGUUACAAAAUUGAUGUCAGGAAUUAACAUAACAGGUAUCCGGGUAGGGUAGGGUAAUAGGGGGUGGGGUACCCGGGUAGACAAUUUGGACCCGUCCCAGCCCUAACGGUAAUGUCUCCAUACAUACA